CCUACGGGGGGCAGCAGUGGGGAAUAUUGCGCAAUGGGCGAAAGCCUGACGCAGCGACGCCGCGUGAGGGAUGAAGGUCUUCGGAUCGUAAACCUCUGUCAGCAGGGAAGAACGGUCACUGUGCUAAUCAGCAGUGAAUUGACGGUACCUGCAAAGGAAGCACCGGCUAACUCCGUGCCAGCAGCCGCGGUAAUACGGAGGGUGCGAGCGUUAAUCGGAAUUACUGGGCGUAAAGCGCUCGUAGGCGGUAUGUCAAGUCAAGGGUGAAAUCCCCGCGCUCAACGUGGGAACUGCCUUUGAAACUGGCAAACUGGAGUGUGUGAGAGGAUAGUGGAAUUCCAGGUGUAGGAGGGAAAGCCGUAGAUAUCUGGAGGAACAUCAGUGGCGAAGGCGACUAUCUGGCACAUAACUGACGCUGAGGAGCGAAAGCGUGGGUAGCAAACAGGAUUAGAUACCCCAGUAGUC
rnacentral:rRNA from 1 species